UACAAUCUCUACUACGCCUACCUGCC
rnacentral:piRNA from 1 species